AAAUAAUGGUGGCCAGGAUUCGAUUCCCCAAUUUCAGUUACCCCCAAACCUACCCCAAUUUCAUUUACCAAAAAUAACCCCACCCCGUCAUCUCUCUCUCGAACAAACCAGACGAUCCCACCGAAACCCUAGCGCUGCCCUCCAUUCAGCCGCCCAAAAACCCGGCGGCCGGUGCUUUGUUCACCGCCAAAAUGACACCCCACAACCACCUUGACCCUCCUCUCCAAAUCACACUCGUUUUACUUCGAAUAAACCUCGAGCCCUUCGAAUAUUAGAUAAAAAAUUUGGUCCGGAAACCCUAGUUCGUCUAAUUGACCCCAAAGUCACACCACUCCACCUCCUGACCUCCCUCGUUCCUAAAACACCAUCGGUUUGGCUCGAAUCGUGCUAGAACUGUUCGAAUCCCAAAUCGAACCAAAAAAACCUAAUGAGACCAAAACUGGAACCUGUCCAAGAUUAAGGAUUUGAGGUUAUUAAUCGACCUUAGUCGAGUGUUUUCAAUCAAGAACACUCUAUUAAGGUCCAUUUGACCCCAUAAGUUCGAAGCAGAGUUCAAGUUGAGUUUGUUUGUUUCAGAUUUUUUUUUUUAAAGUAUUUUUCCUCCUUCCCUUCUUGUUUUAUUUGUUUCCUAUUAUUAUGCAUAGUUUGGUUGGAAUCUAGUUUUGUUUAUCACUCUUCUUCUUCUCCAGUUAGACCUUUUAUUUGGUCGAAUUCUUCUGUUCGUUGAGUGUAUGUUAUAAGCUAUAUAGUCUAUUUGAAUAAUUUCGUCGAAUAGUUAGUUUAUAAGUUCUUUGUUUUUGUCAAUACAACUCGAGUCCUGUGUGUCUGUUUGAUUCUGUUUUUUUGUUGUCAAUUGUAUGUGUUAUAAACUUUGUAAUCGAUUAGUUAAGUAUAGUCGAUUAGUCUGUUUGAAAGAUAGAAGAAGCUUGAUAAUAAUCCAUUUUUGGUCAUUCAGCAUGAUUACCAUCUUGAUCCUUUCUGUUAUGAUUUCUAUGAUUGACAUGAACCUGGUCUUUAUAUUUGUUCACCUGAACCUCAUUCAUUGACUCUUUCUGCUCGAAUCACUGCCCGAAUUAAGACUAGGAUUGAUUAUAGCUAUGUUACGAUUUGGUAAUUAGUAAUGAGUGUUAGUUAUAUUUUUGAGAGGUUUAAAUACAGAUUGCUGAAGCUUUGAAUCAAGGUAGUAACAGUAGGAUUCAGGGGUAAUUUAGGGGUUGGCUAAGCUACUUUACUGAUUGGAAAUUAAAAACAGUAGUUUAAUGAUAAAAGAUAAAAGAAUAUACAUAGGAGAGGGAAUAUAAAAGCUGGAAAGUAAAAAGAGUAGGGAUAAUGAUAAAAGGUUUUUUCUCUUUUACAAUUGAAAAGAACAAAAAAGGGGGCUGGAAGGGGCUCUAGUUUCGCUAUAAUACUGGCAGACCUGGACAGAGAAAAAUUGAGAGAUAGAAAGAGAGAGGAGAGGGAAAACAAUCUGAAAGAGGGGGCUUGGGAAUAAAUUUCAGGGGCCACACUUAAAGAAUAUCAUAAGUUUUUUAACAGAAGCAAUCAGUUCUGUUGGUUUCUUUUGCUGGUCCUUCUUGAAUCAGUUCUAGGAAUCAAUCUUUUAAUUCAGUUUAAGAGAUAGAGUUUACAUAGAAAACUGUCCGCAAGUAAAAGAAACAAGAACCUACUAUUUUAUAAAAAGGUUGCGGAUUGAAUGUGACUUCCAGAAUCAUUUCACUUUUUGUUUACUGGAGUCAGUAGUGUUUUCUGGUUGGUUUUCCAGUGGUUUUGGGUUCAGCUGAGACACUCCAGGAUUUUUUUUGGGGUGUUUGUGUUGCUGUUGGUUUAAAAAUUCAAUCCGGGCUUGGUUGAAUGUGUUUCUGGUUGGUAUUGCUGCUGCUGUUUGAGUUUACUAUUGUGCCUAGGCUGUUCAGUUGUUUGAACUACAUUUGAUCCUUGAUGUGAUUUUCUGCUGUGAUUUGCUUCUGCUGAUCUCUUCUUCUCCUUCCUGUUGAUUUCUUAUUUCCAGGUAUACAAUUUGAAUUCACUUUGAUGUAACUGCAGAUAUGAAUGAAAUGAAGCCUUAUUCCAGAAUUCCUAGUUACAGACAAUCAUCUGAUGUAUGCUUGUUUAAUUUUUAAUUUGCUUGAACUGUAUUGAACUGGGAUUUGCAUAAUUAGGACCAUUUUCUAGCUGAUGUGAAUUGCCUAAUGUGUACUGGAUGGAAAGGUUAAUUUCUAUAAAAUGUGAUUAGAUGAAACAUAAUUGGUUCAACUUUGUCAAGUUUGUUUUCUAGUAAUUAAACGUGGUAGUAAAACUGGGUUUUAGGACUGUCAAAUAUGGAUUGGUCUUAGCUGUGAUAUAUUUUAGUGUGUUUGGACUAGUGAAAAGUUUUGAAGUUAACAAUGACUAAGCAGGAAAAAAAAUGUUUUGAAUUCUAGUGAGGUUAACUUUGACGAUUAGUUUAAAUCGUAUUUUCAGUUCGCCUUAGUCUGCCAUAUUCGCCCAAGUUUAAAUUGAUUCCAAAUGAUGUGACAAGAUCGAAAUUACAUAGACCAAUAUCGCAGUUUAUUUGAAUAGAUAAUUAACUAUCGACAUUAUUCGGUUUGAGAGGACAAGGCUAUCCACAACCUGUUUUAAUAAAUUUGGGGCGAGAGAUGUGAUGCACGACCCAGGUCAGUUCUAUUUCCUCUCUUGUUUGGGCCUGGGCCACUGCCUACGUUUGGGCCAGUUUCCUGGUUUGUGAACUGAGAAUCAAUUCACAUUCUUUGGGCUUAUUCUUGAUCCUAAAGACGUUUAGUUUUAAAAUUAUCGUUUUAGGCCAACGACAAAUUGAUUAGGACUUUUCCUUGUUGUUAGAGAUAAAUAAAGUAGAAAAUUAUAGAUUGCUUUAGGUUUGCCUUUUAAAUAAUAAAGUGAGAUAUGCUUAAAUUUCAGGGCCCUCAUAUAUAUAUAUAUAUAUAUAUAAAAUACUUAGACUUCAGGAUGAGCCGUUUAGCAAAUUUCAUGGCCUUCCCAAAAUAAUAACGUGUUAGAUUCUAUAGGUGCGUAUUUUAAUAAUAUUACCUCCCUAAACUCGGGUUCAUGCGACCCAAAUCCAAUUCCCAAAAUAUUGAAUAAAAUAUGUUCCGGAUUGCGGGUGCAUUUCAUGUGACGUAAUCCAAAGAUAUGUUUUAAACGAUGUUCAACUUUCUUUUAAAUUUGAAUAAAAGAGGUUAAAAUUUAAAUUGGCACAUAAGUUACAACAUGCUAUAAAAUCAGAUAAAUAAGCUAAAUAAGACAGUUGAGCAAUCGUGCUAGAACCAUGGAACUCGGGAAUGCCUAACACCUUCACCAGGGAUAACAGAAUUCCUUAUCCUGAUUUCUGGUGCGCAAACUGAUAAAUAUAGUCAUUUUUUUCCUCGAUUCGGGUCGGUGACUUGGGACACCAUAAAUCUCCCAAGUGGAAAUUGUGUAUCUUUAAUAAUAAUUCCUAUAUCGAUUGUCCUAUAAUUGGAAAAACUCCCUUCACCCUUCGCGGGGCGGCCAAAAGGUGGUGUGACAACUCUGGCGACUCUGUUGGGGACCAUACCCAGAACCACUGGUUCAGGGUUAGAAAUAUAGCUUGGAAUAAAUUUUAUGUUUAGCUUUAUCUGAUUUUGUUACAUGAUCUGUGCUUAAUGUGCUAAUUGACCGCUUUUACCGCUUUGAUAUUUCGUGAACUUUAUAUAAACUGUGCCGAAACUCAUCUCCUCUCUGAGUCUUCUAAAUCAUGAAGAAGGGUGCACUUCGUGUGACUUCUUUUCUGUUUAGAGUCAAUCCCGUUUUUAGAAUGAGGUUCUGAUAAGUUGCAAAGCCGGGUUGAGCUUCUGUAUCCCCGGUACGCUACCCCCCCUCGGCUCGAGUUGUCCGCUCGGGUAAGCCACGUCUAAAACAAACACCCAGGUUCUGAACCUAGAAUAACUCAACUUCAUGCCGGAUCCCUAGUAGGAACGCUUAUCUCCAUCAUGUGCAUUUUUGACUCAGGGGACUCAACACAGGGGUUGGGUCCAUCUAGAAAUAGCAACCUGAAACAGAAAAGACCAUCUUGAUACAUCCUACUUGGGUUCUGUGAAUUUAUUUGUUUCAGACCCGCAUGUUGAUCGGCUUCUGAAUCUCGGGAAUGGUAGAAAAUUUUGGAAAUUUGAGAAAAAGAGGAAAAUAGCAAGUGGAGAGUUAGAUGAUUAAUUUAGAAGAAAAAAAACCAGUGUCCAAGUACGGUCGGAACUCUGCCGAAAUUUUGAAAAAAAAAUAUUUUACUUUUUAAAUUGUUUGUUUACCCAAAAAAGCAGAAAGUGUGUAGAAAAAGUUUUUUUAUUUUAGUUUGCUUUGUUUUAAAAAACGGAAAGGAAAUAUAGUUUGUUUUCUAUAAAAGAAAAAGGAAGAAAUAUGUUUGUUUUCAAAAAUCAAAUAGUUUAUUUACCCGAACUAUGCCGGUUUGAUUCUCACAGGAUGUGAGAUACGUAGGCAGCCCUCAUCGGGCCCAACCUCCCCUUUUGCAAAAAUAAAAUAAAAAUAAAAAUUUUAAUUUUAUCAUAAGUAAGUCGGGUGAUGUCGUUUUCGUCAAAUUUAGCCAAAUGUUCCCGAAAGGGACGCCGAAAGGCUGACUUUGCAUAAACGGUCACCUUUGGUCAUUUUUUGAUUUUUGCCCCACACAGCCUUAAAAUCUUCGUCCUUGAGGCGUCGAAAGGACGUGUUCGCAAUAUUGGAUUUUUAUUUUAUUUUUAUUUUUUUUGAAAAAAAACAAAAAUCUCAAAGUUUUAAUUUUUGUCAUAAAUAAGUUGGGUGAUGCCGCUUUUGUCAAAUAUAGUCGAAAGUUCCUGAUAGGGACGCCAGAAGGUUGGCAUUGCAUAAACGGUCACCUUUGUUUUUUUUUUAGAUUUUCGGUCAAUUAACCCACGCAACCCUAGAAUCUUCAUCCCCGAGGCGCUGAAAGGCCGUGUUUGUAAAUAUCUGGUUUUCUAUUUUUUGAAAAACAAGAAAAAGAGAGAAAGAGAAAUAAUAGAAGGUCUCCGAAAAAAUUGAAAGAGGCACAAAUAAAAUAAGCCGGGAUGAUGCAUGCGGUUGGAGCAAAAACAUGUUAGAAAUGGUUAACUGCCAUAGAACAUUGCAUCCCCCAACGUAAAGUUGCAAUUUCUGUUAAAACUCUAACGCUGACAAGUUUGUUAUUUUCCCAAAUUCAUCCAGUUAGUUUGUUAGAGCAUACUCGCACCAUACCAUUAUCAAACAAGAUCAAAAGGGCCCAUAUCAAAAAGCACGACUAGCUCAGACAACAGUGUUGAGUCAGAAAACACAGCAAAUCAGAUGGUGAAGGUGGCAAUGGUAAAAGGGGAAAGGAUGAGGCUGGAAAUGAAUGAAAUAUCAGGACCAGGAGUCCCAUUCAUUUGUUUAUGGGAGCGACUCUCUGUUCCCAUUCUCCACCUAGCGAAGAUAUGGCAAACAAAUAAAGUAGCCCUAUGUUCGGAUCUGACAAUACCAUACCAUAAUCAAAAGGUACAACGGCCCGAGCGACCAGACUUAACAUAAAUGUAGCCACUGGAGCCAUUCUAAAAAGGGAGAAAUUAGCACUACUUGGUGAAAUAGGUUCCCCCCUGUUCUUCGGAUACAAUUCGAUCCUUCUACGGCCAAAUCUCAAUUUGUGGAAAGCCUUCGAUGGCUUCCUUAUGAAAACAUAAAUUUUUAUUUGGGUAUAGACGGUAUCUCUUUAUUCUUCGUGAUAUUGACCUUGUAGCUAGCCUUGGCUAGAGCACAAAAGGGCCUGAACCACCCGUUACUCCUACUCUCCCACCAAAACACACGCUGGAAUACCUUUCCCCCGGCCCUUCAACAAGUUUCCCAAGCCAUCACUACUAUUAGGGAAGAAAUGCCUAUGAUCCCCAAGCUCCACCACCCAAUCAGAACCCUCAUUCACCAAAUAUUCCUGUCUUUGUGGCGGCUCCCAUAGAAACAUUGCAAAGAUCAUCUAGUGAGCUGUUGUUUCAGGCCCACCAUACACAAUAUUAUCCCCCUGAACUCACAUUCAGAGCACCCGAGCCACAUACUUAUAAUCCUCACUUCGAAGUCCUGCCAGAGAUUGAAAAGCCGGCUAAGAGCCCAGAACAAGAUGACGUGAUGCGGAAAUUUAAAAACCUGGAGCAAUGCUUCAGGAACAUGCACGGGUUUGGCAACCGGGUCAGCGUGGCCUACACGGAUCUAUGCCCUUUACUUGACGUCCAAUUGCCGUCAGGGUUGAAGAUGCCCAAGUUCGAUUUAUACGAAGGGCAUGGCGAUCCUAUGGCACAUCCGCGUGGCUUUUGUAACAAGAUGAGAGGAGCAGGGGCAAAGACGAGCUGUUGAUAGCUUACUUUGGCUAAAGCCUGAGUGGGUCGGCACUGGAGUGGUAUACAACACAAGAUCCGGGCAGAUGGUACACCUGGGACGAUAUAGCACAGGCUUUUGCAGGUCACUUCCAGUACAACCUUGAGAUAGUCGCUGACAAUCUCAUAUUGCUAAAUCUUGAGAAGAAGCCCGGGGAGAGCUUCCGUGAAUUUGGGUUCCGAUGGAGAGAACAUGCAGCCAAAGUUGAUCCUCCAAUGAGAAAGGGGGAAAUGGUAGACUACUUCCUGCAGAUGCUAGAGCCAACUUACUUUGGUCACUUGGUGACAUCAAUUGGCACUUCAACGAUGUAGUGAAAAUGGGAGCUAUGAUAGAGGAAGGACUUAAGUCCAAUAAGAUCCUGAGAUACUAGGAAAUUAAGGCACCAACUCAGGCAAUUCAGAGCUGCACGGGAGGUGCGCUUGGAAAGAAAAAGAAGGAAGAAGUUGCCAUAGUUGAGGCAAGCAGUUGGUCCAAGUCCAGCAAACCCUACUACAACCAGCCCAGACCCCGCCAUCCAAAUUAUCCGUAUACCCCAUACAGGCCACCGCAACAUUACUAUCUACCACAAGAACCACACUUCUCCAUCCAUCAAGUCUAGACAUACAAUCCAGCCUCUGGCUCGCCCGCAAUGGCGCACACCGGCUUCACAAAACACAUAUCCACCUACAAAGAAUACAUAUCCUCCACUAAGGGCCUACAAGAACCCUUCAGGGCCUGGUUUCAUUGGGAAUCAGGAUUUCAGAAAUGAAAGGGUACACAGAACAUUCACUGAGUUGGGAGAAACCUACUUGUUCCACAAAUUAAGGCACUUAGGCUUGUUGAUCCCAGAUUGCCAAAUCCCCUUCCCAAAAAUAUGGACCACUCGGUAAGCUGUGAAUAUAGUUCGGGGGCUCCCGGACAUGAUAUAGAGAAAUGUUGGAAGUUGAAACAUGUUCAGACACCCGAGGCACCCAACAUCAAUAAGAACCUGUUGUCGGCACACCAUGAAGCCCACAUGAUCGAGCUAGUACACGAAGGAGGGGAGUUAAAGAAACCCUCAUAAAGAGUGAUGAUGGUCCGUGCCGGUUCGAAAGAGAAGUCGACUAGUGGAAAAGCAGUGGUAUAGUUGGAAAAGGCAGAUGACAAGCUAGUUAUGGUGUUGGGAAAAGGGUCCAGUGGGGCAGAUGUACAGUUUGUGGGGCCUAGGGCCAAUAUCAACUAUUUGACGGUUACUCCUCUUCCCGCCUAGAGAGAGUCUUGGUAGUGGGCUCUGAUUUUUCUUUCUUGUUGUCUGGAUUAUUCAAGAGUUCUAAUCCAGUUGUUUUGUUUUAUUUUGUAUUCGGCAAAAAUGUGAAACUCUGUUAUCCCGCAUUUUAAUAAAGUGAAAGUUUUCUCUUCUUAUUUUGUUUUAAUUUUGUUUUCUUCCUUUUCUCUUUCUCAACAGUUCUCUUCAUAUUGAUUCUAAUGACAUGGCAUGCACGAUGGAUCUUCAACCCAGUCUAAAAAAUCAAUCCCUCUUUCUGAACAGUUCUCUUUAUGCUGGUUCUAAUGACAUGGCAUGCACAACGGAUCUCCAACCUAGUCUAAAAUCAAUCUGAUUCCGAUUUGCAUUGUUGAGUUAUCGCACUACUGUCCGCACUUCAGUAUAUGUAACUCCUUAUUCGUUGAUAUACAGAAAUGAAGCAGUAAUACUAGCAGAAGUUGAAAUUUCGUCCCUCUAGAUUGUUGCUGAGGCUUGGAUUGGUGAUGAUGAAUGGGUCAAAGCCCUAUUGGAGAAGUUAAGCUUAAUUGAUGAAAAGCAAUUGGCACCAGUAUGUCAUGGCUAGUUGUAUCAAAAGAGGAUGGCAAUAGCAUAUAACAAGAAGGCGCGUCCCAGGAAAUUUGAAGCAGUGCAGCAAGUAUUGAAACGGACCCCCCCGCAUCAGGCCAAAGCAACGGGCAAGUUCGCCCCGAAUCGGCAAGGACCAUUCAUUGUGACCAGAGUGCUAUCCAAUGGUGCUUUAUGUGUGAUAGAUGUCGAGGGAAGAUGCAUCGACAUGGAUAUCAAUUUUGACGCAGUCAAGAGAUAUUAUGUGUAACUUCUUUGAUUGUAAUUGUUGUUUGUUGGUUUGUUUGUACUUGGAAUUUAUCGGAGAAUGAAAUGAUGGAGGCAAUUCUUUCUUAUAUCCAAACACUUUUACCUUUGCUUCCCCCUUUAAGCCUUAUUUAUUCUUCCAUAUCCCUCUUUUGGAAUCAUUAAUGAAAAUGAAACCAAAAUAUAUGAAAAAAAAAGAGAAGAAGAGAAGAAAAUAAGAGAAGAGAAGAAAAGAAAAAUAAUAAUAACAAAACAAAAGAAGGUCAUAAGAAAAAGGAAUCUAAGUAAACUACGUUCGACCUGAUUCCUCAAAGAUGAUAUGUAGGCACCUCACGGCUCGGUCAUAUUGUGACAAAGUGUUACAAAAAAUGAAAAAUUCCCCAAGCAAGAAGACUAGGUCAGAAGUUAUCUUUUAAAAAAAAGUUUGAUGCCAAGAGUUGUAAUGUUUUACCCAUUAAAGUUAUUUUUAACUUUGAUACCCUUUUCUUUUAGCCACACACAAAAACCCAUAUUUGAUAUCCGAGAAAGACCUCCUAAUAAGUAUCCAAGAGGUGCCAAGUCAGGAAAAUGAAAGCCAAGAAUAAUGCACUGAUGCAUGACUGGAAGAGGAUCAUGAGCUGAAGGAAUUGACACCCAAAAGAAUCCCCAGUAGAGAGCAUCUUAUCGGUAACACCCCAAUCCCCAGCGGAGAAAGAAAAUAAAAUGAGAGAGUCUUAUCGAUAAAAACCUUCACACGAACCAUAAGGCGACGAAGGCUGAGAGAAACAAAAUGAGAGAGUCUUAUGGUGAAAGCCUUCACGGGCACUAUAAGGCUGCAGGAACUGAGAGAAAUUAAAUGAAAGAGACUUAUUAGUGAAAACCCCUCGAAGGGCACUAUGAGGUGACAAGAUAAGGUUGGCAGAAAGGAUCCGCAUUUGGAAAGGAGUUGGGUACCUGUUUAUCCCCAGCAAAAGGAGGCUAUUAGAAAGAUUGAUUGAUACAAAUAGACUGGGUUGGCUGAUCCGGAAUGCACGAUGUCAUCAUCGGGAUCGGUUAUGCAAUUCAGAUAAGUUCUUUCUCUUUUCUUUUCCCCAGCAUUUGUUCAAAAGGACUUCUUCUUCUUCUUCUUCUUCUAUCUUUUGAAGUUAUCAUUUUUCACUUCUUUGUUUAAAGACUUUUUCCCAGUAGUUUGUUUUUGAGAAAUUUUUUUCAGAGCUUACUACCAAUUGACAAAAUGGUGCAAAGCAGAAUGUGAAAUAGACAUACCGAAGAUAAGGAAAUAAAAUGAAAAUGAAGUUUGUUUCAAAACCAAAUGAGGAAUUGGUAUAGAUUCCAAUAAGACCAAAAAAAAAAUUCAGGGGAAGUAUGGAGAUGAUGGGUCUAUCUGCCCUCGAAUAGGAUAUGAUGGGUCUAUCUGCCCUCGAAUAGGAUAUGAUGGGUCUAUCCACCCUCGAAUAGGAUAUUAUGGGUCUAUCCACCCUCGAAUAGGAUAUGAUAGGUGUAUCCGCCCUCGAAUAAGAUAUAAUGGGUUCAUCCGCACUCGAAUAGGAUAUUUUGGGUUCAUCCGCCCUCGAAUAGGAUAUUUUGGGUUCAUCCACCAUCGAAUAGGAUAUUUUGGGUUCAUCCAUCCUCAAAGAGGAUCUUUUGAGUUCAUCUGCCCUCGAAUAAGAUAUUUUGGGUUCAUCCGCCCUCGAAUAGGAUAUUUUGGGUUGCCCUCGAAUAGCAUAUUUUGGGUUCAUUCGCCCUCGAAUAGGAUAUUAUGGGUCUAUCCACCCUCGAAUAGGAUAUGAUGGGUCUAUCCGCCCUCGAAUAGGAUAUGAUAGGUCUAACCGCUCUCGAAUAGGAUAUUUUGGGUUCAUCCUCCCUCGAAUAGGAUAUUCUGGGUUCAUCCACCCUCGAAUAGGAUAUGAUGGGUCUAUCUGCCCUAGAAUAAGAUAUGAUAGGUCUUUCCACCCUCGAAUAAGAUGGGAUGGGUCUAUCCGCCCUCGAAUAGGAUGGGAUGGGUCUAUCCACCUUCAAAUAGGAUAUGAUGGGUCUAUCCGCCCUCGAAUAGGAUAUGAUGGGUCUAUCCGCCCUCGAAUAGGAUAUGAUGGGUCUAUCCACCCUCGAAUAGUAUAUGAUGGGUCUAUCCACCCUAGAAUAGGAUAUGAUGUGUCUAUCCGCCCUUGAAUAGGUUAUGAUGGGUCUAUCCGCCCUUGAAUAGGAUAUGAUGGGUUCAACCACCCUCGAAUAGGAUAUUGAAUUUAAUCCUUCCUCAACAGAACAUUUAAUUUAUUUCGACCCAAGUGGUCAUGCUUGUAUAAACAUUGCCAAAAUAUAUAUUUCAUAAAUCAUUACCAAAUGCAUUUUAUUUUCAAAGUUAUUGAAGUAGGAGCCCGCCUCUAGAACAGAGGAAUACAUUCAAGAUCAAGUCCGAAGUUAGUAAAGCAGAGCGUUACAACAAAAUACCCCCAACAUAAAAUCCAAUACAGAAUUCAAAAGGAAGUGUACAAGUCAAGCCUAGAAGAAAAGAACCGGAGGAAACACAAGUUGAUAAACAACAAGAGAUGCAAGAGCAAGCUGAAGAUCUAGAUAAGAGUUUGUAAUUCAUAAUUUAGUCUAGCUUCUUGUUUCUUUUAGCAAUGGUGUAAUAAGGAGGUCGGAAAGCAGUAGUAAUAGCAUGCAGCAGCAGUAACAGAAAAUAUUGCAGUCCCACGGUAGUCCCAGCUACCAAAACUUCCCGAUUUACAUUGAAUUGAUUCCCUUUUAGCAUGGGAUAUGUAGGAAAUCUUUGAAGCAGAGGUUCGGUCGAAUAUUUCGAAAAAUGCUUCAUGCGGAGUACUCAAACGGGCAAAAAUCGCUCGUAUCCGCUCACUUUAUCUUUGCAUGAAAACUCUUCGUGUUUUCGGACAAAGAGGGCCAGCUGUGAGCACAUGAUUUUUGCUCUAUAUGAGAAUUACUCCCAGAAAAUUCAAAAUAAAACAAUUUCUUUGUUUGUUUGCAAUUGUUGUGAAUUUUGUGUUGCUUUCUUGUAAUGCAUUUGUCUGUGCAUGUUUAUUUGUUAAAUUAAUUAAAUUACAAAAAUAUGUCACAUUUGUAUUUAUGAUUUAAGUUUGAAAUUAUGAGUAAUUAAGUUUGUUUUACAAGAAUGAAAAUCACAAAAAUAUGCAUUUUUUGUAUUUUUAGUAUUUAAUGUCCAAAUUGUGUGAUUGUGUUUUAAUUGUCAUUUAAUUUUGUGUGAUAAUCAUUGUUAAGGGUUAAUUAGUAUUUUCUAGGCUAAUUUUUAUUUUUACUAUUCAAUUUAGAAUUAUGGUAAUUAUGAAUUAAAAAGAAAAUGAAAGAGAAUGGAAGAAACGAUGAAGAAUGAGAUGAAACUUGGACUAGGCCAAUUUUUUGAGAUUAAAAUCAAGCUCAAAUCACCUCUUUACCCAGGCACAAUCUAAACACCCCUUAUCCAGUCCGAUCCGCCCCACCCUGUUACUAAAAGACGAUACCGUUUGGUUGUUAAUUGAUCCUAGUCAUCUAAAAUAAUUAGAUCAGUGGCCAGGAUUUGAUCCCCCAAUUUCAGUUACCCCCAAACCCUUACCCCAAUUUUAUUUACCAAUAAUAACCCCACCCCUUCGUUUCUCUCUCGAACAAACCAGACGAUCCCAGCGAAACCCUAGCGCCGCCCUCUAUUUCACUGCCCAAAAACCCGGCGGCCAGUGCUCCGUUCAAGGCCAAAAUGACACCCCAGAACCACCUUGACCCCCCCUCGAAAUCCACACUCGUUUUUCUUCGAAUCACCACCGAGCCCUUCGAAUAUUAGAUCGAAUAUUUGUUCUGGAACCUCUAGUUCAUCUAUUUGACCCCAAAGUCACACUAGUCCACCUCCUGACCUCCCUCGUUCCUAAGACAUCCUUGGUUUGGCUGGAAUCGUGCUAGAACUGUUCGAAUCCCAAAUCGAACCAAAAAACCCUAAUGAGACCAAAACUGGAACCUGUC
rnacentral:lncRNA from 1 species